UAGGGAAUAUUAGUAAUGGGCGAAAGCCUGAACUAGCAACGCCGCGUGUGCGAAGAAGGCCUUCGGGUCGUAAAGCACUUUUUGAGAGGAUGAGGAAGGACGGUACUCUCAGAAUAAGUCUCGGCUAACUACGUGCCAGCAGCCGCGGUAACACGUAGGAGGCAAACGUUAUCCGGAUUUACUGGGCGUAAAGCGCGUGUAGGUGGUUUGGUAAGUAGGGCGUGAAAGCUCUUGGCUCAACUGGGAGAGGACGUUCUAAACUGCCAAGCUUGAGGAUGGUAGAGGGAGGUGGAAUUCCGGGUGUAGCGGUGAAAUGCGCAGAUAUCCGGAGGAACACCAGUGGCGAAGGCGGCCUCCUGGACCACUCCUGACACUCAGACGCGAAAGCUAGGGUAGCAAACGG
rnacentral:rRNA from 1 species